CCCUUAGAUGUUCGGGGCCGCACGCGCGCGACACUGAAGGAAUCAGCACGUCUUUCUCCUUGUCCGAAAGGACUGGGUAACCCGCUGAACCUCCUUCGUGCUAGGGAUUGGGGCUUGUAAUUCUUCCCCAUGAACGAGGAAUUCCCAGUAAGCGCGAGUCAUAAGCUCGCGUUGAUUACGUCCCUGCCCUUUGUACACACCGCCCGUCGCUACUACCGAUUGGAUGGUUUAGUGAGAUCCUCGGAUUGGUCCCGGAGCGGCCUCUGGUCGUGCCGGAGUGCCGAAAAGAAUGUCGAACUUGAUCAUCUAGAGGAAGUAAAAGUCGUAACA
rnacentral:rRNA from 1 species